CUCCUCGCUAGGAGUAUUAGUCGUGGUGACUCCAUGCUCGUGAUAAUAGGAGGCAGAUAUUGAGAGCCAUUACAUAUGAUACAGUCUCCUGGAAUUUAUUAUUAGGUUUCCUCAAAUUAAAAAGUCAUUAUUCUGGUGUCUGACUGCUCAGCCUGCAGUGUCUUGACAUUAUUUUUGACUUUUAAAUGGAGUGUCCUCAUUUAGAAGAAAGCGCAAGAAUACUGGAACCAAACUUCAAAACAGAAAAUAAUCCACCAGAAUUCGUCUGCUCUGUUUGCAACACAGACAGGAGCCCAUGGAUCUGUUUGGCAUGUGGCAUUGUGAACUGUGGGAGGUAUGUUAAUGCUCAUGCAAAAGCACACUUUGAGGAAACAGAAAAGCAUCAUGUUUGCAUGGACUGUCACAAUUAUAUGGCCUUCUGCUACACAUGUGAUGAAUUUGUUAUCAAUGAUACCUCUUCUGGGCAUUUGGAGAAACUACGCAAAUCACUUGAAUCCAUUCCCAAGCUUACACAGCAAUCUCAAAAUGUCCAGAAACAUAGAAAGGGGAGAAGAUGCAGAGGUUCUACAGAUUCACUUGAAAAUGACAGGAAAAGAAGAAAAAAGGACGACAAAAAGCUUCAAAGGCCUCCACGAACAUCAGGAUUGCGUAAUCUUGGAAACACCUGUUUUAUGAAUGCUGUGCUUCAGUCUUUAAGCAAUAUACAACACUUCUGUGGCUACAUCAAACAGCUACCUUCUUUAGAAGACAAAGCAGUGAAGAUCAAAAAGUAUAACCAUGCCAAGAAGUCACGUGACCUGGGAGGAGAAGACUUACUGGUAGUUGAAGAAUUGCGAAAGAUCCUUGUAGCAUUAUGGCAAGGCAACAAGACCGCUAUUUCACCGGAGUCGCUCUUUACUGUUAUCUGGAAAGUGGUACCACGUUUCAGAGGUUACCAGCAGCAAGAUGCCCAUGAGUUCAUGAGAUAUUUGUUGGACCGGCUUCACUCGGAGUUGUUGCAGUUGCUGCCAUACCCCACUUCCAAUUCGCCCUUUAUUACGCCAAAAGGCACUUCCACAAUAGUUACAGCCAUUUUUGGUGGCCUCUUGCAGAAUGAGGUGCACUGUCUCAUCUGCGGCAUGGAAUCCAAGAAACAUGAUCCUUUUCUUGAUCUCUCAUUAGAUAUACCAAAUCAGUUUGCCAUGCGUAGUGGCAAACCAAAAGAAGGCGAGCCUGUUUGUAGGCUGUCAGAUUGUUUGCACAGCUUUACGGACGUGGAGGAGUUGGAGGAAUCAGAGCUUUAUUACUGUGGCAGCUGCAAACGGCGGCAGAAGUCCACCAAAAAAUUUUGGAUUAGACGACUACCAAAUGUCCUCUGUCUGCACUUGAAGCGUUUUCGAUGGAGCACCUAUUGUCGUGUCAAAGUAGAGACCUUUGUGGAGUUUCCACUGACAAGUCUUGACAUGAACUGCUAUGUCCUCAACAACUUGGUCAGUGGACAGUGACAGACCUUGGGUCAAAACUUAGUGGUGACAGACCUUGGGUCAGCACUCAUAAUGCAUGAGACAAGGGGUAGUUCAGCAGGCAGCAAUCUCUAUGACCUUGCAGC
rnacentral:misc_RNA from 1 species